CCCACAGCGCCCCCUGCGGCCGGGAGGAGCCAGCACCGUCCCCGGGUCCUGGCGCAGGGUCUGGGUCUCCUAGCGAGGAAGACGGAGACGAGAGGCGCUGAAAGGAGCUGGAGAGAGGAAGACGGAGAGGCGGACGUGGGGCUUCAGCUGCAAGUGGGGAGAAGGCUCGCUCUUCACUGAGCCCCGGACGGAGAGGGGGCGCGGGGCUGGUUCCUCCCCGAAGCGGACCCCAGGCGAGGGGAGGAUCAUCUGUGAGGCCAUCCCGGGAAUGAAGCGAGGGAGGUCAGCCUCUCUGCUCUCCACGAGGAAUGAAGGUUUUCCACUACAUGGCCUGACAAGAAUCUCGCCCCAAGCUUUAGGCCAUCCCAAGACAACAACACAUCUCCGUUCCCCAGAGUUCUUUCUGGCUGACUUCAGGAGGUCCUAGCCCACAAAGAAGCCAGCUAUGGUGGAAAGACCUUGAAUUUUAGAGUGAGACCUGGGUUUGGGUGUUGGCUCUACCAUUUGCCAUCUUUGUGACAUCAGGCAAGUCAUUUGAAUACCUGUAACUUUGGUUUCCGUAUCUGAAGGGUUGCUGUAAUGAUUAAGUGAGGGGGGCACCCAGGUGGCUCAGUCGGUUGAGCGGCCGACUUUCGGCUCAGGUGAUGAUCUCGCAGUUUGUGGGUUCGAGCCCCGCGUCGGGCUCUGUGCUGACAGCUCGGAGACUGGAGCCUGCUUCGGAUUCUGUGUCUCUCUCUCUCUGCCCCUCCCCUGCUCAAGCUCUGUCUCUCUCUGUCUCAAAAAUAAAUAGAAACAUUAAAAAAAAUUUUUUUUUAAUAAUUAAGUGAGAUAACAUAGAUAAAGCACUUUCACCACAGUAUCUAGCAUUUAUUCCUCCUGGCCUUGCCUCUUUCCCAUCUCCCUCAACUUUAGAUUGUCUAGUAUGCUGAUAGGCACCUCUUUCACCCUACGUGGAAGUCUCCUCAGUUCCCUUCUCUCGAGUCUUCUUUUCUCCCCUAACCUGAAUCUCUUGGUCCUGUGUUAUUUCCCCACGAAUGAUUCAGCAUAAAGCCAACCUAAUAGGCAAAAAAUCUUACAGAGUCAAGUCGCCUUUGACAUUUCUUAAGUUGCUUCUAAAGUACGGUAUAAAUGGCUUUAUGCAAUUCUGCACGGCAUUUCUUAUAUACACCGAUGUUUCAGAACCACUGACUUAGAUCAAGGGAAGGAAGGAAAGGAAAGCCCGUUUAUAGAUGUGUAUGCAUUCAAACCAUUCUGCCUCUAAGAUAAUCAUCAAAUCUCUGGAGGUAGUGAAGCAACAAAUGGAGAAAAUGAAAGUGUUGCUGCUUGCCUAUUGGGCCUACUGCAUUCCACAUUAAUAUUAAAUUUCUAUAACCUUAA